rnacentral:rRNA from 1 species
GACGAACGCUGGCGGCGUGCCUAAUACAUGCAAGUAGAACGCACAGUUUAUACCGUAGCUUGCUACACCAUAGACUGUGAGUUGCGAACGGGUGAGUAACGCGUAGGUAACCUGCCUGGUAGCGGGGGAUAACUAUUGGAAACGAUAGCUAAUACCGCAUAAUAUUAAUUAUUGCAUGAUAAUUAAUUGAAAGGUGCAAUUGCACCACUACCAGAUGGACCUGCGUUGUAUUAGCUAGUAGGUGAGGUAACGGCUCACCUAGGCGACGAUACAUAGCCGAACUGAGAGGGUGAUCGGCCACACUGGGACUGAGACACGGCCCAGACUCCUACGGGAGGCAGCAGUAGGGAAUCUUCGGCAAUGGACGAAAGUCUGAACGAGCAACGCCGCGUGAGUGAAGAAGGUUUUCGGAUCGUAAAGCUCUGUUGUAAGAGAAGAACGGGUGUGAGAGUGGAAAGUUCACACUGUGACGGUAUCUUACCAGAAAGGGACGGCUAACUACGUG